rnacentral:rRNA from 1 species
GGCAUGGCAGACGCACAGUGGUGUUGACGGGUAACGGGGAAUUAGGGUUCGAUUCCGGAGAGGGAGCCUGAGAGACGGCUACCACUUCUAAGGAAGGCAGCAGGCGCGCAAAUUACCCACUGGCCGAAGGCCGAGGUAGUGACGAAAAAUAACGAUACCGGACUCAUCCGAGGCCCGGUAAUCGGAAUGAGUACACUUUAAAUCCUUUAACGAGGAACCAUUGGAGGGCAAGUCUGGUGCCAGCAGCCGCGGUAAUUCCAGCUCCAAUAGCGUAUAUUAAAGUUGUUGCGGUUAAAAAGCUCGUAGUUGGAUCUCAGCAGGCAGGGGGCGGUGCGUUUUUUGACGCGACUGCCUGUUUUGCCUGCGACUUUUCUCGGUGGAGUCGACCGGGUGCUCUUUAUUGAGUGUCCGUUUUGUCGGGCCACCAGGUUUACUUUGAAAAAAUUAGAGUGCUCCAAGCAGGCCGCAUACGCCUGAAUACUCGUGCAUGGAAUAAUGGAAUAGGACGUCGUUCCUAUUUUGUUGGUUUUCGGGAAUCGACGUAAUGAUUAAUAGGGACAGCCGGGGGCAUUAGUAUUCAGACGACAGAGGUGAAAUUCUUGGACCGUCUGAAGACUGACGACUGCGAAAGCAUUUGCCAAGAGUGUUUUCAUUAAUCAAGAACGAAAGUUAGAGGUUCGAAGGCGAUCAGAUACCGCCCUAGUUCUAACCAUAAACGAUGCCAGCUAGCGAUCCGUGGGCGUUUUCCUUGUAGGCCCCACGGGCAGCUUCCGGGAAACCAAAGCGUUUGGGUUCCGGGGGAAGUAUGGUUGCAAAGCUGAAACUUAAAAGAAUUGACGGAAGGGCACCACCAGGCGUGGAGCCUGCGGCUUUAUUUGACUCACACGGGAAAUCUCACCGGGCCCGGACCCGGAA